rnacentral:rRNA from 1 species
UACAGAGGUCCCAAGCGUUAUUCGGAAUCACUGGGCUUAAAGAGUCCGUAGGCGGCAUGUUAGGUGAGGUGUGAAAUCCCACGGCUUAACCGUGGAACUGCUUGGUAUACUGGCGAUCUUGAGCCACUUAGGGGCUACCGGAACAAAUGGUGGAGCGGUGAAAUGCGUAGAUAUCGCUUGGAACGCCAACGGUGAAAACAGCUCGCUGGGGGUGUGCUGACGCUGAGACACGAAAGCCAGGGGAGCGAACGGG